GUACUUGCUUUGGCAGCACGUACACUAAAAUUGAAGUGAUACAGAGGAUUAGCAUGGCCCCUGUGCAAGGAUGACACGCAAACCUGUGAAGCGUUUGAUAUUUUU